rnacentral:lncRNA from 1 species
CAUCAGAUCAAGCAAGGUCCGGGAUUAGAGAAACACUGUGCCACGAGGCACUUUCUCAGCACGACAUUAACCUCAGAACACAAAGCGAUGCGUCUGGAAGCAGAACUGCUGAGCUGCAAACAACCUGGGUGUGAGUCAGAGAACAUUAGGACAGGCCCUGUCCACCAGGAACAUAGACUUGAUUGCAUGUGACUUGUGUCAACUCUGCAGACAUCAAGAGCAGAACAUAAAAGCACGGCAACAGAGAGAUUUCUAAAUGAGCCAUUCAGCCUCUAAGACUAGCCCACAACUGUGAAAGCAGAAUCCCAAUCACCUGCUCAGGCUCAUUAGCAUCUUUGGAUCCUAACAACCCACUCAGUUGCAGUAAAUGAAAAACUAAUCCCUAUUUUAUGCCAUUGGCUGAAAAGGAUUAACCAACUCUUGCUGCCCAUGCAAUCAGCCUUGCAGCGGAGAGAUUACUGCCUUCUAAUACAAUAACUGAAAUGAAAGCCAUUACUUACAAUUAAUGUUGUCUAAUCACCAUUGUGGAUUAGGCUCAGAGCUGCAGCCCUUGGACCUUCCACUUUAGUUACAAGCCCAGAACUCUUCUUGAUGGGCAUUUCACACAUGAAAUUAGUGAAGAAUUGUAGCAGAGGAAAACAGCGUAACUCUAAGAGGAGAAUUUCUCUCAAAGGAAGAAAUCCAGUUCUGCCUGUUCUAGAGGAAGUCCCUUCAAAUUACUCAGCACUCCCUGCUGGACAGCUGUCUUGUAACCAGCUAGCUGAGAGCUGA